GACGAACUGUGCAAGCGUUAUUCGGAAUCACUGGGCUUGAAGAGUGCGUAGGCGGUUUUGUAAGUAGGGGGUGAAAUCCCCCGGCUCAACCGGGGAAUUGCGUCCGAGACUGCAAGGCUGGAGUGAGGUAGGGGUGUGUGGAACUUCCAGUGGAGCGGUGAAAUGUGUUGAUAUUGGAAGGAACGCCGGUGGCGAAAGCGACACACUGGACCUUGUCUGACGCUGAGGCACGAAAGCCAGGGGAGCAAACGGG
rnacentral:rRNA from 1 species